GUGGGGAAUAUUGGGCAAUGGGCGCAAGCCUGACCCAGCAACGCCGCGUGAAGGAAGAAGGCUUUCGGGUUGUAAACUUCUUUUCUUAGGGACGAAGCAAGUGACGGUACCUAAGGAAUAAGCCACGGCUAACUACGUGCCAGCAGCCGCGGUAAUACGUAGGUGGCAAGCGUUAUCCGGAUUUACUGGGUGUAAAGGGCGUGUAGGCGGGAUUGCAAGUCAGAUGUGAAAACCACGGGCUCAACCUGUGGCCUGCAUUUGAAACUGUAGUUCUUGAGUACUGGAGAGGCAGACGGAAUUCCUAGUGUAGCGGUGAAAUGCGUAGAUAUUAGGAGGAACACCAGUGGCGAAGGCGGUCUGCUGGACAGCAACUGACGCUGAGGCGCGAAAGCGUGGGGAGCAAACAGGAUUAGAAACCCUAGUAGUCC
rnacentral:rRNA from 1 species